rnacentral:lncRNA from 1 species
UUUACAUUUCUGUCUGCUAAUACACCACUAGGCCUUUUCAGUCAAAAAAUGGUAUAUUGUUUGCAUGUACAUAUGGAUUUGAAUAAUACUAAUGGAUUUAUUUUAUUAACUACAGCGUGAGCUGAGCAACUUGAAGAGCACCAACUCGGGCAAGUGUACGAGGAGAUUUAGGCAACUCUGAAAUCAUUUCUGUGGAUCUGAGCCUGUGUGGACAAAACCAGUGUCAUGUCUUAAGAAAUAACAUUCAAACAGUCUCAUCUGCAGUGCUCCGUUCUUGUCCAACAGAUGCUGGGUGUAGAUCUCCUGCUUUGGCUAUGUUUAAAUAAGAACAAGCCUACACUACUACUUUCAGAAUAUUUCAGACUUCCUGAAGGCACAGUAAGAGAUGGAACACGAGAUUAUGACAAACUCUCUUCUGGGAUCUAUGUAGUGGGGCUUGACUUUGAUCUUCCGUUUCUCCUGCCCUUGGAGACCAGAGGCGUUUUUGCAUAUGGCAAAUGAAGAGAAUUGUGGGGCUCAGAGCUGCUGUGCUGAUCAGAGAGUUCCUGAAAGACUGCAAAUAAUUAUUUGCCAAGUCAUGAAGUUGGAUCAAUUGUGGGUAAACAUUUUCAAAUGAAAAAAGGCACAAGCAUUACAGCGUGGGGAAGCUUUUGUCACAAAGGUAAGAACUAUUUCUCACACGUCUGUGUGUAACUUCUAGUAGCAAAUGGAAUUGGAGAAGCAAGGAAUUCCUCAGAAAACCUUGGGGAAAAUUGCUCGUUAGUCAUCU